GGCGAACGGGUGAGUAACGCGUGGGUAACCUGCCCUAUGGAAAGGAAUAGCCUCGGGAAACUGGGAGUAAUGCCUUAUAAUAUAUGUUUGUCGCAUGGCAGAUAUAUUAAACGCUCCGGUGCCAUAGGAUGGACCCGCGUCCCAUUAGCUAGUUGGUGAGAUAACAGCCCACCAAGGCGACGAUGGGUAACCGGUCUGAGAGGGCGAACGGUCACACUGGAACUGAGACACGGUCCAGACUCCUACGGGAGGCAGCAGUGGGGAAUAUUGCGCAAUGGGGGAAACCCUGACGCAGCAAUACCGCGUGAGUGAAGAAGGUUUUCGGAUCGUAAAGCUCUGUUAUUGGGGAAGAAAAAAAGACGGUACCCAAGAAGAAAGUCCCGGCUAACUACGUGCCAGCAGCCGCGGUAAUACGUAGGGGACAAGCGUUGUCCGGAUUUACUGGGCGUAAAGGGCACGCAGGCGGUUUUUUAAGUCAGAUGUGAAAGGUACCGGCUCAACCGGUGACAUGCAUUUGAAACUGAAAGACUUGAGUAUUGGAGAGGCAAGUGGAAUUCCUAGUGUAGCGGUGAAAUGCGUAGAUAUUAGGAGGAACACCGGUGGCGAAGGCGGCUUGCUGGACAAAUACUGACGCUGAGGUGCGAAAGCGUGGGGAGCAAAC
rnacentral:rRNA from 1 species